UGCCCAGAAACUCCUAUCCCUAUCUCCUCGUGGUACUGGCCGGGGUACGAGUAACCUUGGGGCAGUAGCGUAGCUAGGGGGG
rfam:Aedes aegypti strain Liverpool supercont1.166 genomic scaffold, whole genome shotgun sequence.